rnacentral:rRNA from 1 species
CACGAACGCUGGCGGCAGGCCUAACACAUGCAAGUCGAGCGAAGCCUUCGGGCUUAGCGGCGGACGGGUGAGUAACGCGUGGGAACGUGCCCUUUGGUACGGAAUAGCCCCGGGAAACUGGGAGUAAUACCGUAUGUGGUCGAGAGACGAAAGAUUUAUCGCCAAAGGAUCGGCCCGCGUUGGAUUAGGUAGUUGGUGGGGUAAUGGCAUACCAAGCCGACGAACCAUAUCUGGUUUGAGAGGAUGAUCAGCCACGCUGGGACUGAGACACGGCCCAGACUCCUACGGGUGGCAGCAGUGGGGAAUCUUAGACAAUGGGGGAAACCCUGCACUAGCCAUGCCGCGUGAUCGAUGAAGGCCUUAGGGUUGUAAAGAUCUUUCAGUGGGGAAGAUAAUGACUGUACCCACGGAAGAAGCCUCGGCUAACUCCGUGCCAGCCGCCGCGGUAACAC